rnacentral:rRNA from 1 species
CCUACGGGAGGCAGCAGUGGGGAAUAUUGCACAAUGGGGGAAACCCUGAUGCAGCAACGCCGCGUGGGUGAAGGAGCGUUUCGGCUCGUAAAGCCCUGUCAGCGGGGAAGAAGAGAGACGGUACCCGACCAAGAAGCCCCGGCUAACUACGUGCCAGCAGCCGCGGGAAUUCGUAGGGGGCGAGCGGUAGCCGGAAUUACUGGGUGUAAAGGGGGCGUAGACGGCGAGGUAAGCCUGAAGUGGAAGCCCGCGGCCCAACCGCGGAACUGCUUUGGGAAAUGUUUUGCUGGAGUAUGGGAGGGGUAAGCGGAAUUCCUGGUGUAGCGGUGAAAUGCGUAGAUAUAAGGAGGAACACCAGUGGCGAAGGCGGAUGACUGGACCAUAACUGACGUUGAGGCGCGAAAGCGUGGGGAGCGAACAGGAUUAGAUACCCGAGUAGUC